rnacentral:snRNA from 1 species
GGAUGUGGGGGCAUCUGGCUACAACAUCUAUCACCCCAUUGAUCUUCAGGGUUUGAUCCAGCUGAUCUGACUGGCCAGGCAGGGAUCAUCUUCCUUCCUCACAGCUCUAGGUGCACCCCUCCUGAAGGUGUGAAGGUGCACCCUUGGUCCAAGGGAACAAACCUUCCCCAAUAGAGGAAGACAGAUCUUGGUCAGGGGUAUAUGACUAGUGGCACUGGGGAGUGCCACUCCCCAGUUGCUAGAACCUUCAAACAAGCUCUCAAGUUCCAUUUGUAGGAGAAUGUAGGGUGGCCAAGCUUCCAAGACUCCAGACACAUCCUGGUGAGGUGCUGCAUGUGGCAGUCUGUCUUUCUUA